rnacentral:rRNA from 1 species
UACAGAGGUGGCAAGCGUUGUUCGGAAUUACUGGGCGUAAAGGGCGCGUAGGCGGCCUUCUAAGUCAGACGUGAAAUCCCCCGGCUUAACCUGGGAACUGCGUCUGAUACUGGGAGGCUUGAGUAUGGGGAGAGGGGAUGUAGAAUUCCAGGUGUAGCGGUGAAAUGCGUAGAUAUCUGGAGGAAUACCGGUGGCGAAGGCGGCAUCCUGGACCAUUACUGACGCUGAGGCGCGAAAGCUAGGGGAGCAAACGGGG